UUGGGCCACUAUUCAGAAAUCCCAAGGCACCAAAGACAACGGUCCAUGGAGACUUGCUGAAGGCAGAUGAUUGCAUCGAAUGGCUUGACACAAAGCCACCUUCAUCCGUUGUUUAUGUGUCUUUCGGUAGUGUCGUACAAUUGAAGCAAGACCAAUGGAACGAGAUCGCUUAUGGGUUAUUGAAUUCGGGCGUCUCCUUCUUGUUAGCUAUGAAACCACCCCACAAAGAUGCAGGACAUGACCUCCUUGUUCUGCCAGAUGGGUUCUCGGAGAAAGCAGGAGACAGGGGCAAGGUGGUGCAAUGGAGUCCUCAAGAGAAGGUUUUAGCUCACCCGUCAGUUGCGUGCUUUGUAACUCAUUGUGGGUGGAACUCUACUAUGGAAGCACUCACAUCAGGCAUGCCAGUGGCGGCUUUCCCUCAAUGGGGUGAUCAAGUAACUAAUGCAAAAUAUUUGGUCGACAUCCUUAAGGUUGGUGUGAGAAUGAGCCGCGGAGAAGCAGAGAACAAACUGAUUACUCGUGAUGAGAUAGAGAAAUGCUUGUUGGAGGCCACAGCGGGACCUAAGGCAGUGGAAAUGAAGGAGAAUGCAAUGAAAUGGAAGGAGGCAGCGGAGGCAGCAGUGGCUGAGGGUGGUUCCUCCGACUGGAAUAUACGAUAUUUUACGGAAGAUAUUGUAAAAGCGAAUGAGUCUGAGAUUGCAGGGAAGUGCAAUGGUUCUAAUGAGUUUCCAGUGUCGGUAGUGGUGAAGUCCAUUGAGAAAGUGGCUGAACUGGUGGGGUCAUCGGCAUGAGGGGAUUUGCUUUAUAUGCAGUGAAUAUGGAACUGGUCUAAUCCACUGUUAGUAUGAUGAAAUUAGUCUUGUUAUGUACUUGUCUACUUUUUACUUCUUUUAAUUAGAUAUUAAUAAUAUACAGUAAAGGCCAAAUGCCAUAUGUAUGGUUGUUAUCGAAUUUCUGUACUUUCCUAUUUAUAAUUUGCUAAAAUCUUAUUCGUUUGAAUUGCUUGUAAUGGUUGUUGAAAAUUAAAAUUGUUGUAAUAUUUUUAGUUUUUAUUAUAUUUAUGAUUGUCUUAUGAUUUGAGUAUAAAUUUCAUUAUAUCUAGGAUUUUUAUAAUGUCGAGCAUUAUUCAAAACUCAAAGAAAUUAUUAGAACCGUAUGGGUUGAUAUUUUAAGAAAGUAAGUGAUAGAUUAUCAAGUGGGCGGAGGACAACAAAUUCUAAACUUUCUAGUUUUGAAAAUAUAGUGUCUCAAUGAUUUUUUCAGUCUUCAAGAAAGGAUCAUGCAUGGUUAAGAAUUUAACAUCACAACUCUUGAACGUGAUCUAGAAUUAUAUUGGCAAAUAUUUGAAUUUUUAGUUAAUAAUUCUGACAAUAUUCAAAGAGUAUAUAUACAUUGAUCUUGGCCCAUAUGUACAUCUUAGUCAUGCAGAUGGAGCACAAUAUCGAAGGUUUCAAUAUAAGCCAUUUAAGCAUAUUUUUGGCUUGAGUAUUCUGUUGCCAAAGAUAUGACAUUUUGUUUUCCUUGCUUUCAUUUUAAUAAUGAAUAACAUAAAAGAGAGACUCAUCAUUCCAAUACAUAUAGCACGUCUAUAAGGAAUCGAGGGUUUCGGGCUCCUCGAUAGUUGCUCCCAGUAUAAUGAUCAGUCACCUGCUAGAAAGAAAAAUAUAUAGCUUUGAGCAAACGACAGUAAUUGUAGGACGCAAGUGAAGUGAAUUGGGUUGAUAUUGGGUUCGUUAUACAACAAAUAAUGCAAGGUAAGGGCGGUUUCUGCUAAGAAACGUGAACAGUGGAGGUUGCACGCAGAGAAGGAGAAGAGGAAAAUAAAGGAGGUGGAAACUGACCUGCAGUGGCGGUGCUGUUGUUGAUGGUGGGCGAAGAUGAGGACUGGCGGAGGACGCUGCUGGUUGUUUUUCCUCUUUCUCAGUAUUUUCCUUUUGCCUUUCUUCUCUUAUCUUUUCUCCUUCCCUCUGUUUUUCUGUUCUUCUUCUUUUGUUCUCUAGCGGUGGUAAUGCUACUGGUGGCGGCGUUGUGGCUGCUGGCGAUGGUUCCCGGCGAGGAAAGGUUCUUCUUCCUAACUAGGUGGCUGUGCAAUAGGGAGCUGUUGUGUGUGCCGGUCGACAGUUCUUUUUCUGUGUGUUUAUCCAGGAAGGUUCUUCUGAUGGGCUGCAUAUAUACUUGGGCCCAUCCAGGAAGGGACGUGCCUGUCAUUUUAGCAAAUAAACUGUACCCCUCCUCCUUAUUAUUUACUAGAUUUUUUUUUUUCAUCUUUUUUUAUUUUUUUUUAAUUUUAAUUUUAUUGUUUAAUAUUUUUUUUUAUUAAAGAUGAAGUUUUAUAAUUUAUAUAAUUUAUUUUUUAUAAAGUUAUGUAACAUGAACACAUAACUUUUUAAUUUAAAAAGAUCAUUUAUUGAUGUGAUUAUUUUUUAAUUUUAUUUAUAUAAUUAUUUUGAUGUGUUAAUAUUAAAAAUAAAUUUUAAAAUAUAUAAAAUAUAUAUAUUAUUUUAAUUUUUUUUUAAAAAAAUAACUUUUAUUACAAUGAUUGAGUACUAAUAAAGUGCAUCGAGAAUCUUAAAGUGGAUCGAAAUUUUUAAAAUAAGAUAUAACAAUCACAAUCACUUUUCAACGAUGAUGAUUACUCGUUUUAAUUUUUUCUUUUUUUUUUCUUCAUGAUGAACUUUUAAAACUUUUAUUUAUUUAUUUCUAUUUUUUUUUUUAGAUUUGAUACACGAUUACGAUUAACACUUUGAUUUGAGUUUUGUCAUUUUAUCUUUUUAGUUUUUUUAGAAUGCGUUUGGGAGUGUGGUUGUUAUUACUUUUUAAAUUAUUUUUUAUUUUAAAAAAUAUGUUAAUAAUUUUUUUUUAUUUUUUAAAAAUUAUUUUAAAAAUUAAUACAUUAAAAUAAUUUAAUAACAUCAAAAAUAUAUUAAUUUAAAAUAAAAAAAUUUAAAUUUUUUAAAAAUCACUUUUUAAUAACAAUUCCAAACCCCCUCUUAUCUUUUUAGUUUUUUUAAAGUGUGUUUGAGAAUGUAAUUGUUGUUAUUUUUAAAUUAUUUUUUAUUUUAAAAAAUAUAUUAAUAAUUUUUUUUAUUUUUUAAAAAUUAUUUUUAAGAUUAAUACAUCAAAAUAAUUUAAAAAUAUUAAAAAUAUAUUAAUUUAAAAUAAAAAAAAUUUAAAUUUUUUAAAAAACAAGCAAUUCCAAACCCCCUCUUAUCUGCAUACCCACAAUGCCAGGCGUCAUUGCCUGCGUCUAUACUUUGCUGAGUUGUCCUUCGUGAUUUUUCCAUAUACAGUGAUUUGUCCAUCGCCUGCCCUCCUUAACCUCAUCUCUCUUUCUCGCGCUCGUUGUGUGAACUGUGAAGUCAUAGAAGUCUUGAAGGAAAACAAAGAAGAAGAAAUUCAUGUGCUAAUGGCGGCACUCUCAUCUCAGGGUCACUUAAACCCCAUGCUUAGACUAGGUAAACGCUUAGUCAAUAAAGGUCUCCAUGUCACACUGGCCACCACUGAAUUCACCGGUCACCGCAUGCUCAAAUCUUCCACCAUCAACCCCACCUCCUCCCCCAUCUCAAUCUCUGGAGUCCAAGUUCGCUUCUUCUCUGAUGGUCAAAGCCUAAACUACGACCGCAUGGUUAAUUACGAAUCGUACAAGAAGAGUUUAGCCAAAUUUGGAACCAUCAAUCUCUCAAACCUUAUAAAGGAGCAUUUCCCCAGUAAUGGUCACAAAAAGCUCUCUUGCAUCAUCACCAACCCAUUUGUUACCUGGGUAGCUGAUGUUGCCAUCAAUCAUGGAAUUCCCUGUGCCAUGUUUUGGAUACAGCCAUGUUCACUUUAUGCCAUUUAUUAUCGCUUUUACAAUAAGCUAAACUCAUUUCCUACUUUAACAGAUCCUGAUAUGAGUGUUGAGUUGCCAGGCUUGCCACUGUUAUACAGAAGAUUUACCUUCCUUUGUUCUUCCUUCAAUUCCAUUUGGUAGCUUGCCUAAAAUGUUCCCAGAGAUGUUCCAGAACAUGAAGAGGUAUAAAUGGGUUCUUGGGAACUCAUUCUUUGGGCUUGAGAAAGAUGCUAUUGAAUCCAUGGCUGAUCUCUGCCCUAUUAGUCCCAUUGGCCCUCUAGUUCCUCCAUCACUUCUUGGUGAAGAUGAAGAUCACGAUACGGGUGUCGAGAUGUGGAAAGCAGAAGAUACUUGCAUUGAUUGGUUAAACAAGGAAGCCCCUUCUUCAGAUAUACGUAUCUUUUGGAAGCCUUGUUGUCUUAUCAGCAAAACAAAUGGAGUGCAUAGCAAAAGCCCUGAAGAACAGUAACAGUCCAUUUAUUUGGGUGGUUAAGCAACCAGACUUACCAGAACCUGAUGGUGCAGGACAAUUGCCAUUAGGGUUCUUGGAGGAGACGACAGACCAAGGGGUGGUUGUAUCAUGGUCUCCACAAACCAAAGUUUUAGCCCACCCAGCUAUUGCGUGUUUUAUAACUCACUGUGGAUGGAAUUCUGUGUUAGAAACAAUUGCUGCAGGCGUGCCGGUGAUUGCAUACCCCAAGUGGAGCGACCAGCCAACAAAUGCAAAACUUAUUGUUGAUGUUUUUCGCAUUGGUCUAAGGCUUAGAGCAAAUCAAGAUGGGAUUGUUAGCAACGAGGAAGUUGAAAGAUGUAUUAGAGAGAUCAUGGACGGACCAAAGUCUGUGGAGCUUAAAUCCAAUGCAAGGGAAUUGAGGAUCGCGGCAAGAGAGGCAGUUGCCGGUGGUGGUUCAUCGGACAAGAAUAUUCUGUUGUUUGUAGAUGAAAUUAUUGAGAGUUGUGGUUCAAUUGAAGUAUGCAAUGUAGAAUGCAAGGUUCCUCAUCAAUAUACACAAGGCAACGAAGGCCAAUAAUUGUGAUUGGAUAAUGCUAGGAUUACUGCGUUUUUUUAUUAAGUUUUGUUUAAUUACCUGUUAUUUAUUCCAAGGAAAGAAUUUCAAAUCAUGAAAUGUAGAUCAUAUCAUAUUUAAGACUAUGUUACUCUACUUUUAGCACUAACAAUGGUAAUUUUUCUAACCGGACUGAAGAAAUAUACGUGGUCUGGAUGUGCGAAAACCGAUGCUAUUAAAAUAAAAUAAAAUAAAAUAAUGCUCUAUAUAUUGAUAUUGAUGGAAUAUUCAUGCCUGCAACAGUAGUUCAUUGCAAUAUGCUUUUAAAAAAUAUAUUUUUAAAUUUUUAUCAUUAUAUUAUCAAAAUUAUUGAAAAACAUAAAAGGAAUUUUAAUUUAAUAUUUUUUUCAAAAUAAAUAUAUUUUUUAAACAUUCAAUAUCAAAAGCUGCUGCAAUUUCAAGUCCCAAACACCACCUUAAACUUAUGGACAAGAAAGUAAUUUUUUUAAAAUAUUUUUUUAUUUAAAAAUAUAUUGAAAUAAAAUAUUUUUUUAAAAUUUAUUUUUAAUACUAUUUAAAAAAUACAUAAAAAAUUAAUUUAAAAUAAAUAAAAAAAUAAAAUAAAUAUUAAAGUUAUUUAAUAAUAUUUUUAUCGCACAGGCAGGCCAACGUUUCGUUCGCAGCAAAUAAGUUAAUGGAUUGUGACAGCAUUUCAAUUCUUAUACCCAUAUAAGAUGUUCUUCAAAAUAGUAAGAAACGCGGUAAAAAAUGUGUAUUUAAGGGCUAAACGACACCUCUUGGGUUGUUCUCGUUUUAUAUUUGAUGGGUAAUAACCCUGCUAAACGCACCUCUGGGGUUGUUGGCCUGGGUUUUGGUAAGGGCUAGGUUCCCUUGCUGUUUUUUUCUUCUUCUUUUUAAUUCUUUUCUUUUUCUCGAAGCAUGGAACAAUAAAAAAAACAAUUUAGUUCAUAAAUAUUUUUAAAUUUUAUUCUCUCGUAUUUAAGAAUUAUUAUGUUGUGGCUUGCUAGGUAGGCUCAUCGUGCAACCAAAUUAAUCAAACCCAAAAAAAAGAAGAGAUUUUGAUCAUCAUCCCUCUCUGCUUUUUCUUAAGGAAAUAUAUUGAUUCUCCCUCUAAUCUAAACUAAUGGCAAGAAUUUCUAUAUCAAUGUGAGUUUCCAAUAAAUUAUUUUAGGUAUUUUCAAAAUUAUAAAAGUAUCUUUCAAUAGAAAAACAAAACAAUAUAUAUUCUAAACACAAAUAUAUGAUACAAAUAGCGUAUCGCUGAGUGGUGAGUGGUGAAUAUCCCUUCUUAGCAUGACGUGCUGGAAAGCAUAUACUAGCUAGUGCAGAAUCUUUCAUAGACAGCCAGAAGUCAAGGAAUGAAGUGCACUUGCACUAGUAACUAAUCUUCUUCAUUCAAUCGGAAUAACUUGUUGGUUACCCGAUGUCUUGGGUUUCUGAGUGUUUUUCAAAGAUUUUCAAACAUGUCUUAACUACGUACUGAUCAUUUCCAUGAUCGGAAAAAGAGAAUAGUAAUCGACAUGCAAAAUUGCAAAUAGAUGUGUUUCUCGCUUCUAUAUAUAAUCACAUUAUACAUUAUGCUCUAAUAUGACUGCACAAUCAUUGAAAGCUACAGUUAACUAUUAGCGUAAUCAAAUUUGAUUUCAUCUUCUGUUCCAAGAAGCCAAGGAAAGAGUUAUAAUUGAAACAUUGUAUGCAUUUGACCGUCAGCCAACUAACAGUCCAUCACUAAAAACUUUGAAUGCAACUCCUUAUAAAUGCUAAAUGUAUCUGCAUCCUGUCUUUCCAUGCUCACCACUCAUUCCCAAACUCAUCAAGUCCUCUACUGUUCAUCAAUCUCUUCCGUCUCUCUGCCUGUAAGAAAACCCCGGAAGAGAAAAAUGGUUUCCGAGUCUCUUGGCCAUCUCUUCCUUGUUUCUUUCCCAGCCCAAGGCCAUGUAAAUCCUUUACUUAGACUUGGAAAAAUUCUUGCCUCCAAAGGCUUCCUUGUCACCUUCUCCACUACUGAAACCAUUGGCAAACAGAUGAGAAAAGCCAGUGGCUUCAUAGAUAAGCUGACCCCGUUUGGUGAUGGCUUUAUCCGGUUUGAGUUCUUUGAAGAUGGAUGGACAGAGGACGAGGAUAGGCACCAAGACCUUGAUCAAUACUUACUUCAACUUGAGCUUGUUGGUAAACAAGUAAUUCCUCAAAUGAUCAAGAAAAAUGAAGAGCAAGGGCGGCCUGUUUGUUGCCUCAUAAACAACCCUUUCAUUCCUUGGGUUACAGAUGUGGCCACAAGUCUAGGUCUCCCUUCUGCAAUGCUUUGGGUUCAAUCCUGCGCUUGUUUUGCCUCAUAUUACCAUUUCUAUCACGGUACUGUACCUUUCCCUGAUGAGGAGCACCCCGAGAUAGAUGUCCAAUUACCAUGCAUGCCUCUCCUAAAACAUGAUGAAGUGCCUAGUUUCUUACAUCCUACAACUCCUUAUGCUAUCUUGAGGAGGGCUAUUUUAGGUCAGUACAAAAAUCUUGACAAGCCAUUUUGCAUCCUGAUGGAAACAUUCGAUGAGCUUGAACCAGAGCUUAUCAAGCACAUGUCCGAAAUCUUCCCCAUCAAGGCCGUUGGGCCACUAUUCAGAAAUCCCAAGGCACCACAGACAACGGUCCAUGGAGACUUGCUGAAGGCAGAUGACUGCAUCGAAUGGCUUGACACAAAGCCACCUUCAUCAGUUGUUUAUGUGUCUUUCGGUAGUGUCGUGCAAUUGAAGCAAGACCAAUGGAACGAGAUCGCUUAUGGGUUAUUGAAUUCGGGCGUCAACUUCUUGUUAGUUAUGAAACCAGCCCACAAAGAUGCAGGACAUGACCUCCUUGUUCUGCCAGAUGGGUUCUCGGAGAAAGCAGGAGACAGGGGCAAGGUGGUGCAAUGGAGUCCUCAAGAGAAGGUUUUAGCUCACCCGUCAGUUGCGUGCUUCGUAACACAUUGUGGGUGGAACUCUACUAUGGAAGCACUCACAUCAGGCAUGCCAGUGGCGGCUUUCCCUCAAUGGGGUGAUCAAGUAACUAAUGCAAAAUAUUUGGUCGACAUCCUUAAGGUUGGUGUGAGAAUGAGCCGCGGAGAAGCAGAGAACAAACUGAUUACUCGUGAUGAGAUAGAGAAAUGCUUGUUGGAGGCCACAGCGGGACCUAAGGCAAUGGAAAUGAAGGAGAAAGCAAUGAAAUGGAAGGAGGCAGCGGAGGCAGCAGUGGCUGAGGGUGGUUCCUCCGACUGGAAUAUACGAUAUUUUACGGACGAUAUUGUAAAAGCGAAUGAGUCUGAGAUUGCUGGGAAGUGCAUUGGUUCUAAUGAGUUUCCAGUGUCGGUAGUAGUGAAGUCCAACGAGAAAGUGGCUGAACUGGUGGGGUCAUCGGCAUGAGGAGAUUUGCUAUAUGUGCUGUGAACGUGGAACUGGUUUAAUCCAGUGCUGUUAGUAUGGUGAAAUUAAUUACUCUUGUUAUGUAGUUGUCUACUUUUUACUUCUUUUAAUUAGCUAUUAAUAACAUAUAGCCAAGUGCCAUAUAAAGGCCAUAUGUAUCAUUUUAAGGUAUUGUUGAGUUGUUGUUGUAGUGUAAUUUCAAAAGUAACAAUUGUACCUGAUUUCUUGUGUUUUUAAGGUAUCGAUCGACAAUGCCGCUGGUAUUGUGUUUGCUAAAAAAAAAUAUAUUUUUAAAGUUAUUUUUUCUAUAUUUUUAUAUGAUUUUGAUAUAAUAAUAUUAAUAAUAAAAUUUAAAAAAUAAAAAAUAAAUUAUUUUAAUAUAUUUUCAAGUAAAAAAUAUUUUGAAAAUCAACCAUUAUCACAUACCACUAAAUUUGAUUUUUUAUUAAAUUAAUUUUUUUAUAUUUUUGAAUUGUUUUGAUGUGCUGAUGUUAAAAAUAAAAUAUAUAUUAUUUUAAUGUAUUUCUGAACGAAAAACACUUUAAAAAACAACCACUAACACAAUAUUAAACAUUAGUGUAUUACAACAUAUACACCAUUUAUGCAUCUUUUUCUUCCUCACUAGUGUUUAAAUUAACAUUAUUAGCAAAGAAAAAAAAAUAGCAAACGAGCAUGUUUUUCAAAAUAAUUUAAUUCAUAAAAUAUUUUAAAUUUUAUUUUCUUGUAUUUAAGAAUUAUUAUGUUGCGGCUAUCUAGGUAGACUCAUCGUGCAACCAAAUUAAUCCAACCCAAAAUAAAGAGAGAUUUUGAUCAUUAUCUCUCUCUGUCUUUUCUUAAGGAAAUAUAUUGAUUCUCCCUCUAAUCUAGACUAAUGGCAAGAAUUUCUAUAUCAAUGUGAGUUUCCAAUAAAUUAUUUUAAGUAUUUUCAAAAUUAUAAAACAAUCUUUCAAUAGAAAAACAAAACAAUAUUCCAAACACAAAUAUAUAAUACAAAGUUUUCAUAUUGAGUAGCAUGAAAAAAAAUUCCAAUCUCAACCAAUCCUUAAUGUUUUGGAAUGCAUAAUUCACUGCUAUCAUUUAUUAACUUUAAUAUAAUUUAUUUAUAUAAAAAAAGUAUGAUUUUGUUUUCUAUAAAAAAAUAGUACUCUGCAAAUCACAAAUGACACACACAAGUUGAUCAGAACCAUUCACCAGCACAAAACACUAUUAGAUGUACACUAUUCACGUCUUCUGCAGAGUGAAGCAGACCUCGAACUCAUGUUCAAAACAGCUGUAAUAACUGGUAGCUGUUGAAGUGGCACCAUUUAACUGGUCUCUCGUUCUGCUUCAAAGGAUGGCCUCACUUACAGAUUUGAAACUGGAAGCCUGUCUUUUUUUUGGCUCUGAAAGGGAUUCUCUUGUCUGCUUUUGUAGGUCUGUAAUUUUUUGGGAGCUUCGGCUUCUCUCAUCAGGAUUCAAUUGGAUGUUGCUGGGAACUCCGAACAAUACAAAUAUCGUAUUGCUGAGUGGUGAAUAUCCCUUCUUAGCAUGACGUGCUGGAAAGCAUAUACUGGCUAGUGCAGAAUCUUUCAUAGACAAACCAGAAGUCAAGGAAUGAAGUGCACUCGCAAUAGUAACUAAUCUUCUUCAUUCAAUCGGUAUAACUUGUUGGUUACCCGAUGUCUUGGGUUUCUGAGUGUUGCAAAAUCAUUGAAAGCUACAGUUAACUAUUAGCGUAAUCAAAUUUGAUUUCAUCUUCUGUUCCAAGAAGCCAAGGAAAGAGUUAUAAUUGAAACAUUGUAUGCAUUUGACCGUCAGCCAACUAACAGUCCAUCACUAAAAACUUUGAAUGCAACUCCUUAUAAAUGCUAUAUGUAUCUGCAUCCUUUCUUUCCAUGCUCACCACUCCUUCCCAAACUCAUCAAGUCCUCUACUGUUCAUCAAUCUCUUCCGUCUCUCUGCCUGUAAGAAAACCCCGGAAGAGAAAAAUGGUUUCCGAGUCUCUUGGCCAUCUCUUCCUUGUUUCUUUCCCAGCCCAAGGCCAUGUAAAUCCUUUACUUAGACUUGGAAAAAUUCUUGCCUCCAAAGGCUUCCUUGUCACCUUCUCCACUGCAGAAACCACUGGCGAACAGAUGAGAAAAGCCAGUGGCAUCAUAGAUAAGCUGACCCCGUUUGGUGAUGGCUUUAUCCGGUUUGAAUUCUUUGUAGAUGGAUGGGAAGAGGACGAGCCUAGGCGCCAAGACCUUGAUCAAUACUUACCUCAACUUGAGCUUGUUGGUAAACAAGUAAUUCCUCAAAUGAUCAAGAAAAAUGAAGAGCAAGGGCGGCCUGUUUCUUGCCUCAUAAACAACCCUUUCAUUCCUUGGGUUACAGAUGUGGCUACAAGUCUAGGUCUCCCUUCUGCAAUGCUUUGGGUUCAAUCCUGCGCUUGUUUUGCCUCAUAUUACCAUUACUAUCACGGUACUGUACCUUUCCCUGAUGAGGAGCACCCCGAGAUAGAUGUCCAAUUACCAUGCAUGCCUCUCCUAAAACAUGAUGAAGUGCCUAGUUUCUUGCAUCCCACAACUCCUUAUCCUUUCUUGAGGAGGGCUAUUUUAGGUCAGUACAAAAAUCUUGACAAACCAUUUUGCAUCCUGAUGGAAACAUUCGAAGCGCUUGAACCAGAGCUUAUCAAGCACAUGUCCGAAAUCUUCCCCAUCAAGGCCGUUGGGCCACUAUUCAGAAAUCCCAAGGCACCACAGACAACGGUCCAUGGAGACUUGCUGAAGGCAGAUGAUUGCAUCGAAUGGCUUGACACAAAGCCACCUUCAUCAGUUGUUUAUGUGUCUUUCGGUAGUGUCGUCAAUUGAAGCAAGACCAAUGGAACGAGAUCGCUUAUGGGUUAUUGAAUUCGGGCGUCAACUUCUUGUUAGUUAUGAAACCAGCCCACAAAGAUGCAGGACAAGACCUCCUUGUUCUGCCAGAUGGGUUCUUGGAGAAAGCAGGAGACAGGGGCAAGGUGGUGCAAUGGAGUCCUCAAGAGAAGGUUUUAGCUCACCCAUCAGUUGCGUGCUUUGUAACUCAUUGUGGGUGGAACUCUACUAUGGAAGCACUCACAUCAGGCAUGCCAGUGGUGGCUUUCCCUCAAUGGGGUGAUCAAGUAACUAAUGCAAAAUAUUUGGUCGACAUCCUUAAGGUUGGUGUGAGAAUGAGCCGCGGAGAAGCGGAGAACAAACUGAUUACUCGUGAUGAGAUAGAGAAAUGCUUGUUGGAGGCCACAGCGGGACCUAAGGCAGUGGAAAUGAAGGAGAAAGCAAUGAAAUGGAAGGAGGCAGCGGAGGCAGCAGUGGCUGAGGGUGGUUCCUCCGACUGGAAUAUACGAUAUUUUACGGACGAUAUUGUAAAAGCGAAUGAGUCUGAGAUUGCUGGGAAGUGC
rnacentral:lncRNA from 1 species